GAGGCCCAGACCUGCCCGCAGCCCUUCCCCCGGGGCGGCAGGCCCGUGGGUGCCUUUGUUCCCAGCUCCAGGACUGGGUGAGAAAGGACGCUGGACAUGCUGAAGAAUUACGAUAGUUCUGUUGCUGCCUGAGCUGUCCUGUACCAUGCCUGGCAAUGACCACCGAGCCAUAUUCUGCUGAGCAGGUUGCUCUGCGCUCAGCCAUCAGGCCUGCCUUCUCCAACAGAUCCAUCAGGCUGGCGACGCAAUGACAGAGCUGUUUGGUACCCGUAGAGUCCCACGCUGAGGGUGUCCAAGCACCUCAUGUUUGGCUCAGAAAAUCUUCCUUGCAGCAGUCCUGCAGGAGGGUUGGGAAGUCCCGGGGACUCCCAGGGCAGUUCACCAGUUGAAAAAUAGCUUGGAUUGGGUUCUUAUAUCAUCUGAGAUGAACGGCUAAUCCUGGCGCCAGGACACAGGUGCGGUUUAAACACUUGAGGCAAAAGCUGUUGGUGGGGAGUGGUGGGACUGUUCACUAGAGGACAUCUGCUUUCAUCAGAAUUGUUGGGUUCACCAGCGGCCUUUCUGCAUUAAAGGCAUUGUUGCGAGGUUCAGACAUCCUCAUACCUCUGCCCUGAUACCGAUGUCUUUUACUCUUUCAGAUAUCUACUUGAAAGGAAGUGUGUGGCUCUCCAUUUUUGGCAGAUAAAGGUUAAACAUGUUCCGGUGGGUGGAAAUUGGACCCUGAAUCAAGGCAUACAUUUUUAAGCCAAAAAAAAAAAGUGUUAAAACAACUUGGGUGGUGCUCUCUGGCCACUUCAGCCCCUGGCAGAGGAGCUGUUUGCUUUCAGCUGCUGUUCUCUGGUGCGGCCUCGCCAAUGUCAGCAGGGCGCGCGUGGCUGCCUCCUGCCCUCUGCACUGGCAGUGGUUCCUGGCUGAGUCCCUGCUUCUGCGGGGCACAGCUUGUGCUCACUGCAGGAGGUAGCAACUGAAAGUCUCUGGCCUGCCUUGCAGGAGGUCUGACAGAGGGACCAUCGCGACCCUGAACUCCUGGUAGGCCAAGAAAGGGCACUGUACUUGCAUAGCUGCGUGUCGCUAAACCCAUCUUCUUUUGCGGCUUGCAAAACAAGAGCAGGAGAAACCAGUCGCUGCCGUAAUGACAUACUCGGCUCCUGGUUUUACGGUUUCUGCAAAGCCUGUUUUGGGGAGACUUUUUAAGCUACUUGGGGAAGAACAGACAAGCUUUUGGCACAUGGUUCUACAUCAAAUCUCGCUUUUGCCAGGCUGUUUAUUUGUAGGGACCCUGUAUAUUGUAGAGGCCGCUGCCUGUUCCUUGCUAUCCCCUAGAAUGGAAACUUGAACCAAUGGUUUUUGUAAUGAAUGAGCAAUAAAUCUGUGGAAAAGCUUCUCUGUUAAUGACUCUUGACUGAAUUCAGG